AGGACGAACGCUGGCGGCGUGCUUAACACAUGCAAGUCGAGCGGAAAGGCCCCUUCGGGGUACUCGAGCGGCGAACGGGUGAGUAACACGUGAGUAAUCUGCCCCUAGCUCUGGGAUAAGCUCCGGGAAACCGGGAUUAAUACCGGAUAUGACCACUUUAGACAUCUGUUGUGGUGGAAAGAAUUUCGGCUAGGGAUGAGCUCGCGGCCUAUCAGCUUGUUGGUGGGUAACGGCCUACCAAGGCGACGACGGGUA
rnacentral:rRNA from 1 species